rnacentral:rRNA from 1 species
AGAUUGAACGCUGGCGGCAGGCCUAACACAUGCAAGUCGAGCGGCAGCGCGGGGGCAACCCUGGCGGCGAGCGGCGGACGGGUGAGUAACGCGUAGGAAUCUACCCAGUAGCGGGGGAUAGCCCGGGGAAACUCGGAUUAAUACCGCAUACGCCCCACGGGGGAAAGCAGGGGAUCUUCGGACCUUGCACUAUUGGAAGAGCCUGCGUUGGAUUAGCUAGUUGGUAGGGUAAAGCCUACCAAGGCGACGAUCCAUAACUGGUCUGAGAGGAUGAUCAGUCACACCGGAACUGAGACACGGUCCGGACUCCUACGGGAGGCAGCAGUGGGAAUAUGGACAAUGGGGGCAACCCUGAUCAGCCAUGCCGCGUGUGUGAAGAAGGCCUUCGGGUGUAAAGCACUUUAAGUUGGAGGAAGGGUGAGUACUAAUAUUAAUCAUCAUUGACGCUACAACAGAAUAAGCACCGCUAACUCUGUGCCAGCAGCCGC